rnacentral:rRNA from 1 species
GAUGAACGCUGGCGGCGUGCCUAAUACAUUCAAGUCGAGCGAACAGAUGAGGAGCUUGCUCCUCUUACGUUAGCGGCGGACGGGUGAGUAACACGUGGAUAACCUACCUAUAAGACUGGGAUAACUUCGGGAAACCGGAGCUAAUACCGGAUAAUAUAUUGAACCGCAUGGUUCAAUAGUGAAAGACGGUUUUGCUGUCACUUAUAGAUGGAUCCGCGCCGCAUUAGCUAGUUGGUAAGGUAACGGCUUACCAAGGCAACGAUGCGUAGCCGACCUGAGAGGGUGAUCGGCCACACUGGAACUGAGACACGGUCCAGACUCCUACGGGAGGCAGCAGUAGGGAAUCUUCCGCAAUGGGCGAAAGCCUGACGGAGCAACGCCGCGUGAGUGAUGAAGGUCUUCGGAUCGUAAAACUCUGUUAUUAGGGAAGAACAAAUGUGUAAGUAACUAUGCACGUCUUGACGGUACCUAAUCAGAAAGCCACGGCUAACUACGUG